UACGUAGGAGUGCAAGCGUUGUCCGGAAUUAUUGGGCGUAAAGAGCUCGUAGGCGGUUCGUCGCGUCGGCUGUGAAAUCCCGAGGCGUCAACCUCGGGUCUGCAGGUCGAUACGGGCGGACUGGAGUUCGGCAGGGGAGACUGGAAUUCCUGGUGUAGCGGUGAAAUGCGCAGACGUAUCAGGAGGAACACCGGUGGCGAAGGCGGGUCUCUGGGCCGGAUACUGACGCUGGAGGAGCGAAAGCCGUGGGGAGCAAACAGG
rnacentral:rRNA from 1 species